UUUUGCCACGUAAGCUCUUUGUUGCCCGUGUUGGGCUUGGCGUUUUUGUUUGGGCUUUGCGUUUUUCUCCUUGGAGUAUGUAUGCCGAGAUCUCGCCCUUUUUUAUUUCUUCAAACCCUUACUCUUCGACAUCCCCUUUGCUCUUCCUCUUCUUUGUUCCGUUUCAUGUCUGAUUCUCCAGUGUUGUCGUGAUCACGGAGUCAACUUCUUCGACAACGCCGAGGUUUACGCCAAUGGCCGAGCUGAGGAGAUUAUGGGUAUGGCGAUUCGCGAGCUGGGCUGGCAGAGAUCCGACAUCGUGGUCUCUACCAAGAUCUUCUGGGGUGGUCCUGGUCCUAACGAUAAAGGUUUGUCAAGGAAACAUAUCAUCGAAGGAACCAAAGCUUCUCUCAAAAGACUCGAUAUGGACUAUGUAGAUGUCCUCUAUUGCCACAGGUCAUAAAUAUUUGAUUUUUUUUAUUUUUUUUCUUGAAGAUCUAUUCUAGGGUUUUGAGUUUUGGAUUAUGAUUUAACUGUUAGGGUUCCUGAGAUUGAAAUAAAGAGUUCGAGCUUUAGGUCUUUUAGUGUCAAUGUCUUCCGUCGUUUCUACUAUGGAACCUCUCAGUAGUACUGUAACGCCUCUCCAUUUUUAUUUGUCUCCAUUCAUUGAUUCCUUAUUCCAAUCAGGCUUUAGAGGCUUAUUCCUUAUUCCAAUCAGUGGUACUGUAACGCCUCAUGUUAUUUAUGUUUAUUUCCUUGAGAGGCUUUCAGACCAUGUCAGGUGAUUCUAAGAGGACAUGUCGGCUCUUAUAUCUUUGAGAUCGUAUUCACUUGCUCAAAAAUCUCUUCCCUACAGUUGAAGUCAGUAUUACAAUCUUGCGGGAAUCUCAAGACUCGGCAGAUUACUCAAGUCUAUGGCUUUUAUGACGAUGUUUCAUGGAGUACGAGAAUGCACCUGGACCUGUUCGACUAUCUUCCUCUUACUGCCCUCAUCUAGACUCAGGCUGUCACUUUCUCUGAAUACCCUUGAUAAUAUUCUGGCUUGGAUUGGCUACAUGAGGUUCAAGUGCUAACUUCCAUGGGUCUCUCCCUCCUUCCGCUCUCAAGGUGACACACGAAGGACCAAUGUGUGAUUUACUAUGGUCUGUUCCUCAUGAUCGAUGUGGGUUAUCUCCACGUGGUGCUGGUUACACAUUUGGACAGCACAACAAUGGACUCAGUCUCAUAUCAAGAGCACAUCAGCUUCUCAUGGAAGGUUUUAACUGGUGGCAGGAAAAGAAUGUGGUGACAGUGUUUAGUGCACCAAACUGUUUCUACCGGUGUGGAAAUUUUGUAGUGAUUCUACAGAUAAGAGGAACAUAUUUCAUCCAGUUUGAUCCACCUCCUCGACAAGCCGAGAGAUCACUGAUCCUAAAACCUAUACAAUGACAUCUGCUCAGCAGGAAAAGAGAAUCAGACUGGGUUUUACUAAACACAACCAAGAGCUUUCCUCUAUCUCCAUCUGAUUCAAGAAAACAUGAAGGCCGUUGAUGUGAUACCGAUGUUGACACCACAUGUUCUGGACAAGAUCGAGCAAGUUAUACAGAGCAAACCUAAACGUCCUGAAUCAUACCGGUAAAAGCCAAAUCCUGAGAUUGUUUGGAGGCUGUUUGACGGUUGCUCUUGGAUGUUGUCAUGUGUUGGCUCUGUUUGUUCUCAUAUGCAUUUUAAGACUCAGAGACAGAGAGAGCACUAUGUGUUGUGUUUUAGUUUUUGUUGUUCCCACUUUUUAAAAACAAGUAUAAUGUUUUUGAAACUUAAAAGUUGGCUUUUAUAGUUGUUGUCAAGAGGUCAGUAGUAAUGUAGUAUAUUGAAAAGCUCAUUAA